rfam:Trachymyrmex septentrionalis contig11511, whole genome shotgun sequence.
GUCUCGGUAGUCUUAAAGGCUUAGGACGCUCGCAUGGAAUGCAAGAGAUCCGGGUUCGACUCCCGGCCGAGGCA